AAAAGAAGAAUGGGAAGGAUUUUCACAAAUGGGAGAAGAGGAGAAAGACAUUCUAGAAACUAGUCUGAGGAGGCAAAGAAGCAAUUUCCAGAUGGAUGAACAGAUGUAAUUGGCCUUCAGCUGGAUUCAUUUAUUUUGAAAUGGUGGACAACCGCAGCUGCAGACCUCAAUCUAUGGUACAUAUCAAGCAAUGCAACUUUUUCUUGUCAUGUCAUGACUUUUGUCUGCUUCUUGGGAGCACUUCCACCAUCAUUAGUAGCACUUGAUAUGGGUCCUAUGAUAUUAUUCAAAUUAUUUACUGUAUUGUGCUAAACAUGAUGGAAAAUAUGGAACUGCUAGAGAACACUUUUUACUGUGAUACACAAUUGACUGGAGAGAUGAACUGCUCAUUUGAAGAUGAUUAGCGUCACGUGGCAUUUUAAGUGAAUACUCGCAACCCUUGAGCUCAUCACAAUGGCAACGGAAGGUGGCUACAAAAUUAUCAGUCGUACAGUAUGUACUACAGUUAAUUUUAUACAGUUAUGAUUUCAUACUGCAUCUUUAUCUCUGUUUACAUUUCUCUGGACUGUGAAUGGCGUCACGUAGUCUGUGUGCAAAUCGUUUUGAUAAAUUAUAAUUUAAAAAACACUUGUGUAUAUUUUAUGGUAGUAAAUGAUAAAAUGCACUAGUAUUGACAUAGUCAAUUUUAUGCAUCUAUGACAUACCAACUUUUUCUUAACUUCUGAUAUUUCUAAGCUAUAGUUUGCAAGUUUUUUCAAAUUGCCAAAAAUCUCCAAAAAAUUUUCCAAGAUACUUAUUGAAAAAAAAAAUCUGCCUGUAAGUAGACCCACACAGAGUUCAGACUCAUGUUGUUCAAGGGUCAACUGUACCUUUUUCAAAUGCUUGUCACCACUAAUUUAUUAUAUUCCCCAUGAUUUCACUGCGAAUUUACUAGGGGUUUAAAAUAAAUAAAUAUAAACAAAUACAAAACUCAGAAGAACAUUUACUUCCCAAGAUGCCAGAAUAACAAUCUAGUUGGAAUCUAAAUAUAAAACCACCAGCAACACAAACAGCUUAUAAAGUAGUGUCAACUAGCACAGUUUUAGGCACUUCACUCAGUACUUGAUAUAUGACAAUACAGCUUUACAUUCAAGUGCUGAAGUAACUUAAGAUUCAAGUGUACGUAUGACUGCUUCUUGGAGAAUUAGUCCUAGAAAUGAUCUGGAUGUGAGGACAAGCAGAAUGUGCUACGUGCUUAUUCGAAUAUCUACCUAUAUCUAAAUGUAACUCAACAGGAUUGAUACUAAAAAUCCAAUGCUACAAACAUACUAUUUCUUAUUUCCUUGACCCCUAUCUGAAACAACACCUUCUUCAACUUAGGGUCUCUGCUUUUAUCACUUCCUUUCCACAUAUACUUUAUCUACUUUAAGGUAUCCUCCCCAUCUCUUCCUUGCUUCCCUAAUCCCCAAAAACCUCCCUACAUCUCAUUUUCACAUCACUGUGAUCCACACACUGGUAAAGGGACAGAAAAAUGUUCCUUCCAUUUGUAGACAUACUUGCAGAUGCAGGGACUUAAUUCAGGGAUCAACGUUGUAUAAAAAGAAUCCAGAGUUUGACCAACUCACCUUCCCAGCUACAAAUGGCAUAUCACCCAAGCAUAAUCUAUAAUGUGGUUGUGCACCAAAAUAGUUCCUAGAACUUUUCUGAAUGAAAAGAAAAGGAAAACAAUUUUAUUUUAUUCACAUGAUAAUAAAAACCGACUAUACAUGACUAACUUGAAACUUCAGUUAACUACUAGGCUACUACUUGCCUUAUCUAUAGCUGGCAUUAUGAUCACAAGCCAGCUCCUAAUAGUACUUGUUAGCAUAUAUCCUAGCCUAGGAAAGGCUGGGGGGAAAAAAGCACUUGACAAAACAACAGUUACAUUCUAAGUAGAAAAUCAGUAUACAUAUACACAAAACAUUGUAAAAGCACAAGAUAAUGCAGUACUAAUAAUGCUAAUUUUGUAUGGUGUUCUGUAGUUCCAAAAUGCUUAUAUAUUUUCUCACUAUCAGGAUAAAAAUUUAGGAGUAGGUAUUACUUAUCUCCACCUUCUGAAUGAAGAAAUUGAGAAUGAAAGAUUUACUCUCUCAAGGUUGUAGUACACCACACAGUUUAUGGGUGUUUUGACAUAAACUAUACCAAGUAAUCAGCAUUUUGCCUGAUUUGGUUCUGUCUUCACACCUUUUCUGGUGGUUUUGACUUCUUUUUUUUAAUUCUUCUUGCAUUGGGAACACACGGAGUUGCCUUAUCUUCAAAGAUAAGUCUAUUUGUUUCUAGACCAGUCUGCAACUAGGAAAAAUGAGAGC
rnacentral:lncRNA from 1 species